GCUGGGUGUGGUGGCACGCACCUGUAAUCCCAGCACUUUGGGAGGCCAAGGCAGUGGAUCACUUGAAGCCAGGAGUUCAAGACCAGCCUGGUCACCAUGGUGAAAGCCCAUCUUUACAAAAAAUACAAAAAAAAAAAAUUAGCUGGGUGUGGUGGCACGCACCUGUAAUCCCAGCACUUUGGGAGGCCAAGGCAGUGGAUCACUUGANNNNNNNNNNAUUUUUUGUAAAGAAGGGCUUUCACCAUGGUGACCAGGCUGGUCUUGAACUCCUGGCUUCAAGUGAUCCACUGCCUUGG
rfam:Chlorocebus sabaeus isolate 1994-021 chromosome 26, whole genome shotgun sequence.